rnacentral:rRNA from 1 species
UGAGAAUCCCACAGGCCGUAAACCCAAGGUUUCCAGGGGAAGGUUCGUCCGCCCUGGGUUAGUCGGGACCUAAGCUGCGGCCGAAAGGCGUAGGUGAUGGACAACAGGUUGAUAUUCCUGUACUACCGAUAACCGUUUGAGAGAUGGGAUGACACAGUAGGAUAAGCUAAGCACACUGUUGGUUAUGUGUGCCCAAGCAUUGAGG